rnacentral:tRNA from 1 species
GCCCGGAUGGCGGAAUUGGUAGACGCUGCGGACUUAAAAUCCGCUGACCGAAAGGUCGUGGGGGUUCAAGUCCCCCUCCGGGCACCA